GACGAACGCUGGCGGCGUGCUUAACACAUGCAAGUCGAACGGAAAGGCCCUGCUUUUGUGGGGUGCUCGAGUGGCGAACGGGUGAGUAACACGUGAGUAACCUGCCCUUGACUUUGGGAUAACUUCAGGAAACUGGGGCUAAUACCGGAUAGGAGCUCCUGCUGCAUGGUGGGGGUUGGAAAGUUUCGGCGGUUGGGGAUGGACUCGCGGCUUAUCAGCUUGUUGGUGGGGUCGUGGCGUACCAAGGCUUUGACGGGUAGCCGGCCUGAGAGGGUGACCGGCCACAGUGGGUCUGUGAUACGGCCCAGACUCCUACGGGAGGCAGCAGUGGAGAAUAGUGCACAAUGGGCGGAAGCCUGAUCCAGCGACGCCGCGUGCGGGAUGACGGCCUUCGGGUUGUAAACCGCUUUCGCCUGUGACGAAGCGUGAGUGACGGUAAUGGGUAAAGAAGCACCGGCUAACUACGUG
rnacentral:rRNA from 1 species